GACGAACCGUACGAACGUUAUUCGGAAUUACUGGCUUAAAGGGUUUGUAGGCGGCCUUGUAAGUCAGGUGUGAAAUCCCUCGGCUCAACCGAGGAAUGGCGCUUGAUACUGCAAGGCUUGAGGGAGACAGGGGUAAGCGGAACUGAUGGUGGAGCGGUGAAAUGCGUUGAUAUCAUCAGGAACACCGGUGGCGAAAGCGGCUUACUGGGUCUCUUCUGACGCUGAGGAACGAAAGCUAGGGAGCGAACGGG
rnacentral:rRNA from 1 species